UACGUAGGGACCGAGCGUUGUCCGGAAUCAUUGGGCGUAAAGAGCGUGUAGGCGGUUUUACAGGUCCGCUGUGAAAACUCGAGGCUCAACCUCGAGCUGUCGGUGGAAACCGUAAGGCUAGAGUCCGGAAGAGGAGAGUGGAAUUCCUGGUGUAGCGGUGAAAUGCGCAGAUAUCAGGAAGAACACCCGUGGCGGAGGCGGCUCUCUGGGACGGUACUGACGCUGAGACGCGAAAGCGUGGGGAGCGAACAGG
rnacentral:rRNA from 1 species